rnacentral:rRNA from 1 species
GCCUACGGCCACACCACCCUGAAAAAGUCCGAUCUCGUCUGAUCUCAGAAGGUAAGCAGGGUCGGGCUCUGUUAAUACUUGGAUGGCAGACCACCUGGGAAUCCCGGGUGCUGUAGGCU